CGAUAUCAAUAAGCGGAGGAAAAGAAAAUAACAAUGAUUCCCCUAGUAACUGCGAGUGAAGAGGGAUAAGCUCAAAUUUUAAAUCUGUUAGGUUUACCUAACCGAGUUGUAAUUUGAAGAGGCGUUUUCUGUGCAGUUUGGUCAGCCUAAGUCCUAUUGAAUGAGGCAUCAUGGAGGGUGAUAAUCCCGUUCGGUUGAUCAUUGCGCUUUACGAUACGCUUCCAAAGAGUCAAGUUGUUUGGGAAUGCAGCUUAAAAUGGGAGGUAAAUUUCUCCUAAGGCUAAAUAACGGCGAGAGACCGAUAGCGAACAAGUACCGUGAGGGAAAGAUGAAAAGAACUUUGAAAAGAGAGUUAAAUAGUACGUGAAAUUGUUGAAAGGGAAACGAUUGAAGCCAGUCGUACUUGCGGGCAAUCAGCCUUUUGGGUGUGAUUAUGUGGAGCGUGAGGAGUUAAUCACCCUCAUCUUUUCAUAUUCGUGCACUUUGGGUGUACUUGCUCGUGUGUAGGUUAACAUCAAUUUUGAUUAUCAUAAAAUGAUUGGAGGAAUGUAGCUUCGAUCUUGUAUUGAAGUGUUAUAGCCUUUGGUAGAUGUGAUGAUCGAGAUUGAGGAUUGCAACGGAUACCCUUCGGGGCUACCCGUCUGAUCUCUGAAAGUUGCUCUGGUGCUGAAAGCUUGCUUAUGGUAUCAAAGUUGACGUUCAAUAGGUUAGAACGGGAUAAAUUCGUUAAGGAUGUUGACGUA
rnacentral:rRNA from 1 species